UCUCCUACAAAAUAAAAGUGCAGGAAGCCAGGAACGAAUCAAGACAGGAGCUUGUAUUCUUAUUAUUCAAGGCUAACUAAUGCUGCAGAGAUCUGAAGUGAAGCUCACCACACCUCCGAGAUGCAGUCUGUCUGAUGCUCAGAGAAAACAGUCGAGUUUGUGUCACCACUAACUUCAGUGAUGACAACUCCCCCACUAGUUUUAAACCCCAGAUGCUCCAAUCAAGUAUUAGGAGCGACUACUACAACAUCAAGGAUGGCAUGCCUUCACCAGCUUCUCACCAGUGAAAACAAGCAACAGGAAACAUAAGUGAAAGUUAA